AUAUAACUAAGCGGAGGAAAAUAAACUAACAAGGAUUCCCCUAGUAACGGCGAGUGAAGUGGGAAAAGCUCAGACGUGUAAUCUUCGGAAUUGUCGUCUGCAGAGGCGUGAUACAUUCUGAACAACGAACAAAAUCUCCUGGAACGGAGUGCCGCCGAGGGUGACAGCCCCGUUAAUGUUCAUUGGUCUGAAGUGUUCCGUCAUCUAAGAGUCGAGUUGUUUGGGAUUGCAGCUCUAAGUGGGUGGUAAAUUCCAUCUAAAGCUAAAUAUCGGUGGGAGACCGAUAGCGCACAAGUA
rnacentral:rRNA from 1 species